GUGCUUGCUUAGUAGCACUUACACUAAAAUAAGAACAAUAUAGAGAUUAGUAGGGCCCCUAAUCAAGGGUACUACAAAUUCAUGAAGCUAUCUAUAUUUUU
ensembl:snRNA U6 U6 spliceosomal RNA